rnacentral:rRNA from 1 species
GAUGAACGCUGGCGGCGUGCCUAAUACAUGCAAGUCGAGCGAACGGAUGAGAAGCUUGCUCCUCUGAUGUUAGCGGCGGACGGGUGCGUAACACGUGGAUAACCUACCUAUAAGACUGGGAUAAUUUCGGGAAACCGUAGCUAAUACCGGAUAAUAUUUUGAACCGCAUGGUUCAAAAGUGAAAGACGGUCUUGCUGUCACUUAUAGAUGGAUCCGCGCUGCAUUAGCUAGUUGGUAAGGUAACGGCUUACCAAGGCAACGAUGCAUAACCGACCUGAGCGGGUGAACGGCCACACGGGAACAGAGACACGGUCCAGACUCCGACGGGGGGCAGCAGUAGGGAAUCUUCCGCGAUGGGGGAAGGGCUGACAGAGCAACGCGGCGUAAGUGAUGAAGGACCUCGGAUCGUAAAGCUCUGUAAUUAGGGGGGAACAUAUGUGUAAGUAACUGGGCACAUCAUGACGGUACCUAGUCAGAAAGCCACGGCUAACUACGUG